rnacentral:rRNA from 1 species
UACGUAGGGGGGCAAGCGUUGUCCGGAAUCAUUGGGCGUAAAGCGCGUGUAGGCGGUUCGAUAAGUCUGCUGUGAAAGUCAAAGGCUUAACCUUUGAAUGCCAGUGGAUACUGUCGGACUAGAGUGCGGAAGAGGCAAGUGGAAUUCCUGGUGUAGCGGUGAAAUGCGCAGAUAUCAGGAGGAACACCAACGGCGAAGGCAGCUUGCUGGGACGUUACUGACGCUGAGACGCGAAAGCGUGGGGGAGCAAACAGG